rnacentral:rRNA from 1 species
AAAGUAAAACCUGCCCGGUGAUGAGCUAACUGAUUUAACGGCCGCAGUACUUUGACUGUGCGAAGGUAGCAUAAUCAUUUGUUUUAUAAUUGAAAACUGGAAUGAAUGGUUAAACGAAAGUUGAGCUGUCUCUUAUUUAAUUUUUAAAAUUUUAUUUACAAAUGAAGAAGUUUGUAUUAAAUUAGAAGACAAGAAGACCCUGUUGAGCUUUAAGGAAUAAUUUAAUAUUAUAUUAAUAACUUUUGAUUGGGGCGAUUAUGAAUAAUCUUAAAUAACUUUGAGGAUGUAUAAUUUAUACUUGAUCCAGUUUUAAUAAACUGAUUAAUGAAAUAAGUUACCACAGGGAUAACAGCGUAAUUUUAUUUUAUAGACCGUAUUGAAAAUAAAGUUUGCGACCUCGAUGUUGGAUUAAAGUAACCUGUAGGUGCAGCCGCUUAUAAGGGUUAGUCUGUUCGACUAUCAAAACUUUA